AUAUUUCGGGACCGAAUCUAGUUUCUUCGAUAUCAAUGUAAUCACAAUGAUAUCGAAGAAACUAUAGAUUCGGUCCCGAAAUAU